rnacentral:rRNA from 1 species
GAAGCCCUUCGGGGUGGAUUAGUGGCGAACGGGUGAGUAACACGUGGGCAAUCUGCCCUUCACUCUGGGACAAGCCUUGGAAACGAGGUCUAAUACCGGAUAACACUCCCAUUCUCCUGGAUGGGGGUUAAAAGCUCCGGCGGUGAAGGAUGAGCCCGCGGCCUAUCAGCUUGUUGGUGAGGUAAUGGCUCACCAAGGCGACGACGGGUAGCCGGCCUGAGAGGGCGACCGGCCACACUGGGACUGAGACACGGCCCAGACUCCUACGGGAGGCAGCAGUGGGGAAUAUUGCACAAUGGGCGAAAGCCUGAUGCAGCGACGCCGCGUGAGGGAUGACGGCCUUCGGGUUGUAAACCUCUUUCAGCAGGGAAGAAGCGAAAGUGACGGUACCUGCAGAAGAAGCGCCGGCUAACUACGUGCCAGCAGCCGCGGUAAUACGUAGGGCGCAAGCGUUGUCCGGAAUUAUUGGGCGUAAAGAGCUCGUAGGCGGCUUGUCACGUCGAUUGUGAAAGCUCGGGGCUUAACCCCGAGUCUGCAGUCGAUACGGGCUAGCUAGAGUGUGGUAGGGGAGAUCGGAAUUCCUGGUGUAGCGGUGAAAUGCGCAGAUAUCAGGAGGAACACCGGUGGCGAAGGCGGAUCUCUGGGCCAUUACUGACGCUGAGGAGCGAAAGCGUGGGGAGCGAACAGGAUUAGAUACCCUGGUAGUCCACGCCGUAAACGGUGGGCACUAGGUGUGGGCAACAUUCCACGU